GUGGCAUCUCUUAUGUCAGUGAAACAAAAAUCUGGCAAGACGUUUAGUCAAAUAGCUGAAGAAACUGGUCUCACAAAUGUCUAUGUGGCUCAGUUGCUAAGACGUCAAGCUCAGCUUAAACCUGAAACUGCACCAAAGCUGAAGGCUGCACUUCCGCUUUUAUCUGAUCAACAAAUUCAUCAAAUGAUGGAGGCACCUUUGAGGUCUUAUGACCCCAACUUGAUUCAAGACCCAACUGUUUACAGAUUGAAUGAGGCUGUCAUGCACUUUGGUGAGAGUAUCAAGGAAAUUGUUAAUGAAGAAUUUGGCGAUGGCAUCAUGUCAGCUAUAGACUUUUUCUGCUCAGUUGAUAAAAUCAAAGGUGUGGAUGGAAAGGAUCGUGUUGUCUUGACUUUUGAUGGAAAGUAUCUGCCACACACUGAACAGAAAACUGAGCAUAUGGUGUCAAGGUUGAUGCGAAAGGAAUAAGCAUAGUUACUAUAAGCAUCUCUGUUGCAAACUGUUGCUCUUUAUAGUCUGAUUAUGUACUUGUCUUCUUUUUUCACUCGUCUAUGUUUCAGACUGGUUCAAUAAUACUCACUCGUUAGUCGAGUUUCAAUAUGGUAUUUGUAUUUGUAUAUGUAUUUCUGAGUUGCCAAGAUUUGAUAAUGUAUAAGUAUGUUCU
rnacentral:misc_RNA from 1 species